GAUGAACGCUAGCGGCAGGCUUAAUACAUGCAAGUCAAGGGGGUAGCAAUACAACCGGCGCACGGGUGAGUAACGCGUACACAACAUGCCAUAUACUGGGGUAUAGCUUUGGGAAACUGAAGGUAAUCCCCCAUAACAUUGCGAGAGGGCAUCUGAUUGCAAUUAAAGUUUCGGCGGUAUAUGAUUGGUGUGCGUUUGAUUAGCUAGUUGGUAGGGUAACGGCUACCAAGGCGACGAUCAAUAGCUGGCGUGAGAGCGCGACCAGCCACACUGGGAACUGAGACACGGUCCAGACUCCUACGGGAGGCAGCAGUAGGGAAUAUUGGACAAUGGAGGAAACUCUGAUCCAGCCAUGCCGCGUGAUAGAUGAAGGCCCUCUGGGUUGUAAAUAUCUUUAUCUGGGAAGAAACUCCUCUAUUCUUAGAGGCCUGACGGUACCAGAGGAAUAAGCACCGGCUAACUCCGUGCCAGCAGCCGCGGUAA
rnacentral:rRNA from 1 species